rnacentral:tRNA from 1 species
GCAUUCAUAGUAUAACGGUAGUACACUCAGCCCGUAUUUGAGAGGUCCGGAUUCGAGUCCCGGUGAGGGCA